CUGGGACAGAGGUCCUCCCGUCAACGGCAAGAGAAGCCCGAGCAAGACGUUCUACCCUGUAGGAGAUAGAGUCACGUACACGUGCAACGAUGGGUACAUACUGGAGUAUGGCUACCCUAGGGAAGUCAGGUGCCUCAAAGGAAACACAACUACACCGGAGAAUGAAGGGGGCAUCUGGGAACAUGAAAAACCCGUGUGUCUAGUAAACUACAAACAAAGACUGCAGGAAGAGCUGUUUCUGCUGUACAGUGCAACCCUGGCACCGGAGAAUGUCACCAUCAACUUCACUGGAUUUGUGGAGCAAAUCGUCUCUUUGGACGAGAAGACGGAACAGCUGGUCGCUUCUGUUAUCAUAGAAUUUACAUGGCAGGAUGGUCGACUGAAAUGGAUCCCAAAGUACUACAAUGGCAUAGAGAGCUUCAGCGUUCCAGGCGGGAGCAUUUGGACUCCAACAUUGACUCUUAAGAGAAA